rnacentral:rRNA from 1 species
UACGAAGGGGGCUAGCGUUGUUCGGAAUCACUGGGCGUAAAGGGCGCGUAGGCGGCUUUAUAAGUCGGGGGUGAAAGCCUGUGGCUCAACCACAGAAUUGCCUUCGAUACUGUAGAGCUUGAGACCGGAAGAGGUAAGUGGAACUGCGAGUGUAGAGGUGAAAUUCGUAGAUAUUCGCAAGAACACCAGUGGCGAAGGCGGCUUACUGGUCAGGUUCUGACGCUGAGGCGCGAAAGCGUGGGGAGCAAACAGG